UACGGAGGGUGCAAGCGUUAUCCGGAUUCACUGGGUUUAAAGGGAGCGCAGGCGGAUUUGUAAGUCAGUGGUGAAAGGCUUAAGCUUAACUUGGGAACUGCCAUUGAUACUAUAAGUCUUGAAUGUUUGUUGAGGUUUGCGGGAAUGGGUCAUGUAGCGGGUGAAAAUGCAUAGAUAUGACCCGGAACACCUAUUGCGAAAGGCAGCAGGCUAAACAAAUAUUGACGCUGAGGCUCGAAAGCGUGGGGAUCAAACAGG
rnacentral:rRNA from 1 species